rnacentral:rRNA from 1 species
GACGAACGCUGGCGGCGUGCUUAACACAUGCAAGUCGAACGGAAAGGCCCCUUUGGGGGUCACCGAGUGGCGAACGGGUGAGUAACACGUGAGUAACCUUCCCUUUGCUUCGGGAUAAAUUCAGGAAAAUGGGGCUAAUACCGGAUAGGAAUCCUUGCUGCAUGGUGGGGGUUGGAAAGCUUCGGCGGUUUUGGAUGGACUCGCGGCUUAUCAGCUUGUUGGUGGGGUAGUGGCUUACCAAGGCUUUGACGGGUAGCCGGCCUGAGAGGGCGACCGGCCACAUUGGGACUGAGAUACGGCCCAGACUCCUACGGGAGGCAGCAGUGGGGAAUAUUGCACAAUGGGCGGAAGCCUGAUGCAGCAACGCCGCGUGCGGGAUGACGGCCUUCGGGUUGUAAACCGCUUUCAGCAGGGGCGAAGCUUGUGGUGACGGUACCUGCAGAAGAAGCACCGGCUAACUACGUG